rnacentral:rRNA from 1 species
AUUGAACGCUGGCGGCGUGCUUAACACAUGCAAGUCGAACGCGAAAGGGACUUCGGUCCUGAGUAAAGUGGCGCACGGGUGAGUAACGCGUGGAUAAUCUGCCCUUAUGAUCGGGAUAACAGUUGGAAAACGGCUGCUAAUACCGGAUACGCUCAAAAUGAACUUUUUGAGGAAAGAUGGCCUCUGCUUGCAUGCUAUCACGUAAGGAUGAGUCCGCGUCCCAUUAGCUUGUUGGCGGGUAACGGCCCACCAAGGCAACGAUGGGUAGCCGAUUUGAGAGGAUGAUCGGCCACACUGGAACUGAAACACGGUCCAGACUCCUACGGGAGGCAGCAGUGGGGAAUAUUGCGCAAUGGGCGAAAGCCUGACGCAGCGACGCCGCGUGAGGGAUAGUAAGGUUUCGGAUCGUAAACCUCUGUCAGAAGGGAAGAAACUACGUUGUGCUAAUCAGCAGCGUACUGACGGUACCUUACAAAGGAAGCACCGGCUAACUCCGUGCCAGCCGCAGC